AAAUUGAAGAGUUUGAUCAUGGCUCAGAUUGAACGCUGGCGGCAGGCCUAACACAUGCAAGUCGAGCGGCAGCGGAAAGUAGCUUGCUACUUUGCCGGCGAGCGGCGGACGGGUGAGUAAUGUCUGGGAAACUGCCUGAUGGAGGGGGAUAACUACUGGAAACGGUAGCUAAUACCGCAUAACGUCGCAAGACCAAAGAGGGGGACCUUCGGGCCUCUUGCCAUCAGAUGUGCCCAGAUGGGAUUAGCUAGUAGGUGGGGUAACGGCUCACCUAGGCGACGAUCCCUAGCUGGUCUGAGAGGAUGACCAGCCACACUGGAACUGAGACACGGUCCAGACUCCUACGGGAGGCAGCAGUGGGGAAUAUUGCACAAUGGGCGCAAGCCUGAUGCAGCCAUGCCGCGUGUAUGAAGAAGGCCUUCGGGUUGUAAAGUACUUUCAGCGGGGAGGAAGGCGUUGAGGUUAAUAACCUCAGCGAUUGACGUUACCCGCAGAAGAAGCACCGGCUAACUCCGUGCCAGCAGCCGCGGUAAUACGGAGGGUGCAAGCGUUAAUCGGAAUUACUGGGCGUAAAGCGCACGCAGGCGGUCUGUCAAGUCGGAUG
rnacentral:rRNA from 1 species